GCCUGGGUGGCUCAAUCAGUUAAGCAUCUGACUUCGGCUCAGGUCAUGGUCUCAUGGUUCAUGGGUUUGAGCCCCGUGUCGGGCU
rnacentral:tRNA from 1 species